CCCUUGUAUUAAUCAAAGGUGUAACCUGCCCAAUGGCUUUCAAAUAAAUAAAAAUAAAAAUUUUAUAAGAAAACUUAAAGGACGCAGUAUCCUGACUGUGAUAAUGUAGCAUAAUCACUUGCCACCUAAUUAGUGGAUAGUAUGAAUGGUUGAACGAGUAUUACACUGUCUCUUAUAGAGAAUUCAUGAAAUUAGAAUAAUAGUAAAGAUACUAUUUUAAAUUGUAAGACGAAAAGACCCUAUAGAGCUUAACUAUAAACUACAUAAAAAAUUGUAAACAACAACUUUACACAAAUAUGCAGUCUGGUAGUUUGGUUGGGGCAACCAUCUUUUAUAAAAAACAAAGAUAAGCAAAAUAAAUAAAUUCAUUUAUUGUAUAAUUAAUAAAUUUAACAAUUAUAAAAAUAGGCUAAAAUGACCCAUUAGAUUUUAAUAACAAAACUAAUGAUUAAUAAAUAAAAGCUACCUUAGGGAUAACAGGAUAAUUUUGCUUUAGAGACCAUAUCGAAAGCAAAGUUUGUCACCUCUAUGUUGAAUUAAGAUAUCCUAAUAAUGCAGAAGUUAUUAAAGGUGGGUCUGUUCGACCCUUAAAACUU
rnacentral:rRNA from 1 species